GCCUGGUUAGCUCAGUUUGGUAGAGCGUGAGACUUUUAGGGCUUCGUGACCUAUGAAAGGCAUCUUAAGGUCGUGGGUUCGACCCCCACAUCGGGCG